rnacentral:rRNA from 1 species
UACAGAGGUCUCAAGCGUUGUUCGGAUUCAUUGGGCGUAAAGGGUGCGUAGGCGGCGGGGCAAGUCAGGUGUGAAAGCUCAGGGCUUAACCCUGAAGUGGCAUUGAAUACUAUCGUGCUGGAGGUUUGGAGGGGGGACUGGAAUUCUCGGUGUAGCAGUGAAAUUCGUAGAUAUCGGGAGGAACACCAGUGGCGAAGGCGGCGAUCUGGGCAGAUACUGACGCUGAGGUGCGAAAGCGUGGGGAGCAAACAGG